GAUGAACGCUGGCGGCGUGCCUAAUACAUGCAAGUCGAGCGAACAGACGAGGAGCUUGCUCCUCUUACGUUAGCGGCGGACGGGUGAGUAACACGUGGAUAACUUACCUAUAAGACUGGGAUAACUUCGGGAAACCGGAGCUAAUACCGGAUAAUAUAUUGAACCGCAUGGUUCAAUAGUGAAAGACGGUUUUGCUGUCACUUAUAGAUGGAUCCGCGCCGCAUUAGCUAGUUGGUAAGGUAACGGCUUACCAAGGCAACGAUGCGUAGCCGACCUGAGAGGGUGAUCGGCCACACUGGAACUGAGACACGGUCCAGACUCCUACGGGAGGCAGCAGUAGGGAAUCUUCCGCAAAGGGCGAAAGCCUGACGGAGCAACGCCGCGUGAGUGAUGAAGGUCUUCGGAUCGUAAAACUCUGUUAUUAGGGAAGAACAAAUGUGUAAGUAACUAUGCACGUCUUGACGGUACCUAAUCAGAAAGCCACGGCUAACUACGUG
rnacentral:rRNA from 1 species